rnacentral:rRNA from 1 species
UACGUAGGGGGCAAGCGUUGUCCGGAUUUAUUGGGCGUAAAGAGCGUGUAGGCGGCUUUGCAAGUCCGUUGUGAAAACUCGAGGCUCAACCUCGAGACGCCGGUGGAAACUGCAAAGCUAGAGUCCGGAAGAGGAGAGUGGAAUUCCUGGUGUAGCGGUGAAAUGCGCAGAUAUCAGGAAGAACACCCCGUGGCGAAGGCGGCUCUCUGGGACGGUACUGACGCUGAGACGCGAAAGCGUGGGGAGCGAACAGG